rnacentral:rRNA from 1 species
CUACGGGAUGCACCAGUGAGGAAUAUUGCACAAUGGGGGGAACCCUGAUGCAGCAACGCCGCGUGGAGGAUGACGCAUUUCGGUGUGUAAACUCCUUUUAUAUGUCAAGAAAAUGACGGUAGCAUAUGAAUAAGCACCGGCUAACUCCGUGCCAGCAGGCCGCGGUAAUACGGAGGGUGCAAGCGUUACUCGGAAUCACUGGGCGUAAAGGACGCGUAGGCGGGUUGGAAAGUCAGGUGUGAAAUCCUACAGCUUAACUGUAGAACUGCACUUGAAACUUCUAAUCUAGAGUAUGGGAGGGGGAGAUGGAAUUAGUGGUGUGGGGGUAACAUCCGUAGAUAUCACUAGGAAUACCUAAAGCGAAGGCGAUCUCCUGGAACAUUACUGACGCUAAGGCGUGAAAGCGUGGGGAGCAAACAGGAUUAGAUACCCGAGUAGUC